GAUGAACGCUGGCGGCGUGCCUAAUACAUGCAAGUCGAGCGAACGGACGAGAAGCUUGCUUCUCUGAUGUUAGCGGCGGACGGGUGAGUAACACGUGGAUAACCUACCUAUAAGACUGGGAUAACUUCGGGAAACCGUAGCUAAUACCGGAUAAUAUUUUGAACCGCAUGGUUCAAAAGUGAAAGACGGUCUUGCUGUCACUUAUAGAUGGAUCCGCGCUGCAUUAGCUAGUUGGUAAGGUAACGGCUUACCAAGGCAACGAUGCAUAGCCGACCUGAGAGGGUGAUCGGCCAUGCUGGAACUGAGACCCGAUCCAGACCCCUACGGGAGGCAGCAGUAGGGAAUCUUCCGCAAUGGGCGAAAGCCUGACGGAGCAACGCCGCGUGAGUGAUGAAGGUCUUCGGAGCGUAAAACUCUGUUAUUAGGGAAGAACAUAUGUGUAAGUAACUGUGCACAUCUGGACGGUACCUAAUCAGAAAGCCCCGGCUAACUACG
rnacentral:rRNA from 1 species